rnacentral:rRNA from 1 species
CCUACGGGGGGCAGCAGUAGGGAAUCUUCCACAAUGGACGAAAGUCUGAUGGAGCAACGCCGCGUGAGUAAAGAAGGGUUUCGGCUCGUAAAGCUCUGUUGGCAGUGAAGAAAGAUAGAGGUAGUAACUGGCCUUUAUUUGACGGUAAUUACUUGGAAAGUCACGGCGAACUACGUGCCAGCCGCCGCGGUAAUACGUAGGUGGGAAGCGUUGUCCGGAUUUAUUGGGAGUAAAGUGAGUGCAGGCGGUUCAAUAAGUCUGAUGUGAAAGCCUUCGGCUCAACCGGAGAAUUGCAUCAGAAACUGUUGAACUUGAGUGCAGAAGAGGAGAGUGGAACUCCAGGUGUAGCGGUGAAAUGCGUAGAUAUAAGGAAGAACACCAGUGGCGAAGGCGGCUCUCUGGUCUGCAACUGACGCUGAGGCUCGAAAGCAUGGGUAGCGAACAGGAUUAGAUACCCCAGUAGUC